UACAGAGGUCUCAAGCGUUGUUCGGAUUCAUUGGGCGUAAAGGGUGCGUAGGCGGGCAGGUAAGUCAGUGGUGAAAUCUCCGAGCUUAACUCGGAAACUGCCUUUGAUACUAUCUGUCUUGAAUAUGGUGGAGGUAAGCGGAAUAUGUCAUGUAGCGGUGAAAUGCUUAGAUAUGACAUAGAACACCUAUUGCGAAGGCAGCUUACUACGCCUAUAUUGACGCUGAGGCACGAAAGCGUGGGGAUCAAACAGG
rnacentral:rRNA from 1 species